GGAUUGAGUCUUCAUUGGACAAUCUAGAUGGAGAACGGAUCCACUUCUCUCGCAUCGAGCUUUGGUGGUGAGGGAGAGUUUGUCAGGUCGAGGAAUCCAAAUGAUGGGAUAUCAAGUCAGCUGGGAUCGCUGGUUGUGUGGAGGAGCAGCAUGUGGAUCUUGCUCCUCAAGCUAUUAUUGUCUCGUCGCCACUUGCUGGAGACUCUACUGCUACUGGUUUGCUACUAUGAC
rnacentral:lncRNA from 1 species